AUGCAUAAAUUAAUCAAGAGUAGCCCUUGGAGAUGUGUAUGGUAACUUUUUCUGGGCAAAACUCAUUUCUCAAAGCGUCAUCCAACUUCAAGAAUACUGAUGAGAGUAACCCUGCAAACGAAGAAAUUUAAACUCACAAUGACGCCACACCCCUCGUAAUAUAACAAAAUACAAAUAAAGUGUCAUAUUACAUAUUAAACAUUUGUGUAUAAAUAAAAUAUAACAAAAUACAAAUAAAGCGUCAUAUUACAUAUUAAACAUAACCCGUUUAUUAGUGACUUGGUUACGGAUCAAACAUAGCCCUGAAUAUAUAAUCUCUGAGAGUCCAUCCUGUAGAUAUUGAUCAUGUUUCAUGCUAGUUUUAAAAUUCUUCACAAGGAACAUGAAGGCAAAAAAUAACUAC
rnacentral:lncRNA from 1 species